AUUGAACGCUGGCGGAAUGCUUUACACAUGCAAGUCGAGCGGCAGCGCGGGGCAACCUGGCGGCGAGCGGCGAACGGGUGAGUAAUACAUCGGAACGUGCCCUAUCGUGGGGGAUAACACAGCGAAAGCUGUGCUAAUACCGCAUACGACCUGAGGGUGAAAGCGGGGGAUCGCAAGACCUCGCGCGAAAGGAGCGGCCGAUGGCGGAGUAGCUAGUUGGUGGGGUAAAGGCUCACCAAGGCGACGAUCCGUAGCGGGUAUGAGAGGACGACCCGCCACACUGGAACUGAGACACGGUCCAGACUCCUACGGGAGGCAGCAGUGGGGAAUUUUGGACAAUGGGGGCAACCCUGAUCCAGCCAUUCCGCGUGAGUGAAGAAGGCCUUCGGGUUGUAAAGCUCUUUCGGCAGGAACGAAACGGUGACUCCUAAUACGAGUUACUAAUGACGGUACCUGAAGAAGAAGCACCGGCUAACUACGUGCCAGCAGCCGCUGUAACA
rnacentral:rRNA from 1 species